rnacentral:rRNA from 1 species
GACGUAGGUGGCGAACGUUAUCCGGAAUUACUGGGCGUAAAGCGCGCGUAGGCGGCUUUGUAAGUUAGAGGUGAAAGCCUGGAGCUCAACUUCAGAAUUGCCUUUAAGACUGCAUCGCUUGAAUCCGGGAGAGGUGAGUGGAAUUCCGAGUGUAGAGGUGAAAUUCGUAGAUAUUCGGAAGAACACCAGUGGCGAAGGCGGCUCACUGGACCGGCAUUGACGCUGAGGUGCGAAAGCGUGGGGAGCGAACAGG